rfam:Camelus ferus unplaced genomic scaffold scaffold1508, whole genome shotgun sequence.
GGCGGGUACAGCUCAGUGGUAGAGCCCAUGCUUAGCAUGCACGAGGCCCUGGGUUCAAUCCCUAGUACCGCCA